rnacentral:rRNA from 1 species
CACGUAGGGCGCAAGCGUUGUCCGGAAUCAUUGGGCGUAAAGAGCGUGUAGGCGGUCCGGUAAGUCGGCUGUGAAAGUCCAGGGCUCAACCCUGGGAUGCCGGUCGAUACUGCCGGACUAGAGUUCGGAAGAGGCGAGUGGAAUUCCCCGGUGUAGCGGUGAAAUGCGCAGAUAUCGGGAGGAACACCUAUGGCGAAGGCAGCUCGCUGGGACGUUACUGACGCUGAGACGCGAAAGCGUGGGGAGCAAACAGG